ACCUUCCUACAAGUGGGGAAUAGCCCAGAGAAAUUUGGAUUAAUACCCCGUAACAUAGCGAUGUGGCAUCACAUUGCUAUUAUAGCUUCGGCGCUUGUUGAUGGGUGUGCGGCUGAUUAGAUAGUUGGCGGGGUAACGGCCCACCAAGUCUACGAUCAGUAGCUGAUGUGAGAGCAUGAUCAGCCACACGGGCACUGAGACACGGGCCCGACUCCUACGGGAGGCAGCAGUAAGGAAUAUUGGACAAUGGACGCAAGUCUGAUCCAGCCAUGCCGCGUGAAGGAUUAAGGUCCUCUGGAUUGUAAACUUCUUUUAUAAGGGACGAAAAAAGGUCUUUCUAGAUCGUCUGACGGUACCUUAUGAAUAAGCACCGGCUAACUCCGUG
rnacentral:rRNA from 1 species